UACAGAUUGCAAGAAUCUGCCUUUUCACUAGUACCACAUUUCCAUCUAAUGUGUUAUUAGAGAAAUACUAACCUAGGGAAUUUUCUCAAAUUUUUCACAUGUAGUAAUUGCUUUUUUACAUUGCCCAAAGACAAAGAGGCACAGAAGACCUAUUCUCACGAAAGAGACUCACGGUAAACAACCGAACAAAAUGACAAUUAAUAAUAAGAAGCAACUGCCAAACAGGUUAGAAUGUUUGUGUUGUCUUUACAGAAUAUUCCCCCUGGGAAGAUAAAUUAUUUCAUGUGACCGUAGUUCUUGUAAUAUGGAAUUAAACAUGGGGAAGAGGUUUAUUUGAUCAGAUAGAUUUAAGAAAUUGUGAAUGGAUGAUUUACUCACCUGCACUACAGGACUUCUCAAACCACAAAAUUUAGCAACCUUUAGAGGGACUUAUUAUUAGUCUAUAUACUGACUAAACUCCACAUAUUUCUUUGAACAUUGAUUGAUUCCUUCAACAAUAACAAACUAUCAUUUAUAUACAAGACAUUGCCAGUUUAUAUGAAACUACGAAGACCAUUACAUUUGGAUUACUGGACUGAGAAUUUCUCUUGGGAGGCCGAGGAGGGCAGAUCACAAGGUCAGAAGAUCAAGA
rnacentral:lncRNA from 10 species